CACGGGGUUUCUGGGGGUGCACGCGCGGAAGUCUCUUUA
rnacentral:rRNA from 1 species